CACGUAGGCGGACUGGUCAGUUGGGGGUGAAAUCCCAGGGCUCAACCCUGGAACUGCCUCCAAUACUGCCAGUCUUGAGUCCGAGAGAGGUGAGUGGAAUUCCUAGUGUAGAGGUGAAAUUCGUAGAUAUUAGGAAGAACACCAGUGGCGAAGGCGGCUCACUGGCUCGGUAACUGACGCUGAGGUGCGAAAGCGUGGGGAGCAAACA
rnacentral:rRNA from 1 species